rnacentral:rRNA from 1 species
GGGCACCAUGCAGUCGAGCGGAUGAAGAGAGCUUGCUCUCCGAUUUAGCGGCGGACGGGUGAGUAAUGCCUAGGAAUCUGCCUGGUAGUGGGGGAUAACGUUCCGAAAGGAACGCUAAUACCGCAUACGUCCUACGGGAGAAAGCAGGGGACCUUCGGGCCUUGCGCUAUCAGAUGAGCCUAGGUCGGAUUAGCUAGUUGGUGAGGUAAUGGCUCACCAAGGCGACGAUCCGUAACUGGUCUGAGAGGAUGAUCAGUCACACUGGAACUGAGACACGGUCCAGACUCCUACGGGAGGCAGCAGUGGGGAAUAUUGGACAAUGGGCGAAAGCCUGAUCCAGCCAUGCCGCGUGUGUGAAGAAGGUCUUCGGAUUGUAAAGCACUUUAAGUUGGGAGGAAGGGCAUUAACCUAAUACGUUAGUGUUUUGACGUUACCAACAGAAUAAGCACCGGCUAACUUCGUGCCAGCAGCCGCGGUAAUACGAAGGGUGCAAGCGUUAAUCGGAAUUACUGGGCGUAAAGCGCGCGUAGGUGGUUCGUUAAGUUGGAUGUGAAAUCCCCGGGCUCAACCUGGGAACUGCAUCCAAAACUGGCGAGCUAGAGUACGGUAGAGGGUAGUGGAAUUUCCUGUGUAGCGGUGAAAUGCGUAGAUAUAGGAAGGAACACCAGUGGCGAAGGCGACUACCUGGACUGAUACUGACACUGAGGUGCGAAAGCGUGGGGAGCAAACAGGAUUAGAUACCCUGGUAGUCCACGCCGUAAACGAUGUCAACUAGCCGUUGGAAUCCUUGAGAUUUUAGUGGCGCAGCUAACGCAUUAAGUUGACCGCCUGGGGAGUACGGCCGCAAGGUUAAAACUCAAAUGAAUUGACGGGGGCCCGCACAAGCGGUGGAGCAUGUGGUUUAAUUCGAAGCAACGCGAGAACCUUACCUGGGCCUUGACAUGCUGAGAACUUUCCAGAGAUGGAUUGGUGCCUUCGGGAACUCAGACACAGUGCU